rnacentral:rRNA from 1 species
UACGUAGGGUGCGAGCGUUAAUCGGAAUUACUGGGCGUAAAGCGUGCGCAGGCGGUUAUGUAAGACAGAUGUGAAAUCCCAGGGCUCAACCUGGGAACUGCAUUAGUGACUGCAUAGCUGGAGUACGGCAGAGGGGGAUGGAAUUCCGCGUGUAGCAGUGAAAUGCAUAGAUAUGCGGAGGAACACCGAUGGCGAAGGCAAUCCCCUGGGCCUGUACUGACGCUCAUGCACGAAAGCGUGGGGAG